CUGGACUUUCACCCUAAGUUCAAUGGUAGCCCUGCUCCCAGGCCGCCGCAGCCCUCUUAGCCUCUGCCCGCAAGCCCUCUUUGGAUGAACUGACCUGCUCCCUUUGGUAUUCACACCCUCCCCCUCCAAUCAGGCAAUAACAACCUGGGGUCCAAUUUUUAAACAGCCAGGCUCCGACAUUUUCUUUCCCGCCCAACUCUCCACGCUGACACUUCUGAGGGUGGGGUGCCGGAAAAGGUGUCCCUCAGGCGGUGACGGACCGCACCCACAGGACAUACAGGGCACACCCCUCCCAGGUGAAGGCCAGCGGCCCCCGGGGAGUUGAGGCUGAGGGAGGUCACUUCGGCUUCGCGACACCGUGAGCGCUUAUCAGGAGUUCUCAGUAGGAAGCGCUUUCCUGCAGCCUCAGGCAGAGACCGUGCGUGCAAGGCGGGACCGACCGCAGGUGCAGAGGCCCCGGGCCUGCCCAAGAUCGAAUUGGUCGCAAAUACGUUCCCUCGCCAGAAACUUUAAAAGGCCAGAAGAAAAUAAACCGGAUUCAGCUCCCUCUCAUCUCCAAAUCUCGGAGACCGUCCUGGGAACAAGCCUUAAAGCAAGGUGGCCACAGGAAGCCGCAGCCUGAAGAGAGCACAGCUUCUGCAGGUGCUCUGGGCCACCUGCUGGUGAAUGAGGUGGUUGAUACUUAUCAGAAGCCCAGGACCAUAUUUUGGUUUCCAGCAGGAUAUGAAAAAAUAAUUUCAGCCAAUAAUAACUCAGAGGCACCGCACCGUGAAUUCCUAUACAGCAGAAGAUGGGACGGCCACCUGAGCCAACCCCACAGCUGACAGCUGAGCCUCCAGCGAAACCCAAGGCUGACACAACAAGCAAGUCUGGUGUACAGCGUGGAGCCAAGGAGGACAGCUUUUUCUCAACAGAAGCCCACAGGCAACUCAUGGCUGCAUUGGUGGUCCAGAGACUCUGGGAGGCUGGAGGAGGCUGCCAAAGAAUCUUCAGGGAAGGAGUCUCCAAGUGCACUAAUGGGAGUGGUGGCGGGGUCAGGAGAGUGUGAAGUUUGCUGGUGACAGCAGCAAGGUGUGCAGCACAAAGGAGACACGUAGGCUGCAGCCCCCACCUGAGCAGCGUCAGCACUGAGGCCAGGGUUUCACUUCUGUACCAGGGGGGAGUCUGGCAACACCUUCCUUCACAGCAGUUGCUCGAAAGACACAGACAAGCCAGGAUUCUGCCCCAAAUAAUAAUAAACACUGACGCUGUAGAUGUAAUGAGCCCUAGGACAGGCCUCCACCACACACACUGGAACGCCUCCCCCCAGGAAGAGAAGAGCUGCUCUGGUUCUCAUCACUCCCCUCACCCUAACAUGAGCCUCCUGGGCUGGUGUCUAGUCCUGAAGUUUAGUCAGUUAGCUCUGUUCACUUUGAUUAGUCCCAUGCUGAGGACAUUUGGGUGGGGAGAGACUUGGCAAUCUCUGGCAGACGCAGCAGCAGGCAACUGGGCUGAAGUGUAGGCUCAAGUUCUGCCCCAAACCCUCUCGAAGUGGCCUGGGAGAAAAUGACAAGCCAAGGGCAGUCCCUGACGAAGCUGUCCAAGGGCCAGUGUCACGGCCAUGCCAUCCUGCUCACAAUGCCAAUUGUUUUGUAAGAUUUCAAUGUUCUUUUGAUGAUGGACACAACACAAACACUCUGGAAGAGAUGAAAGGCGGAGCUUUUGGUUACUUACAGCUCCAAAAGAGAGCCAGCUGCCAGGCAGGGCCACACAGGGGACUCACCCAGGGACAACAGACCAGCACGCUGGGACUAUCUGGGCAGCUCGUACACGGCAAGCGGGGUGGCUUAGGUGGGCUUCAUGGGCCCCCUGGGAAUUGAUUCAUUGACACAAUAUUGCAGGCUCAGGAGGCUGGGAGCCAUCCCGGGUUGGUCUGGAACUUGACACCAGGCAGUUAGGGCAGGGGCAUGGUGGUCUGGAGAGAUGGUCAUAGUGGCAGCCCCCUAAGGGAAGGGGUUGGAAUGUGGACUUAACUGCUCAGGAAAGUAAACUAACUGGCAUCUAACCAGGGCCUCAAAACUGGUUCAAGACAGUAUAUAUAUAUAAUUUUAUUACAACUGGUUCUGGUGGCAGAGGCCUCUUCCAGGCCUGAGGAAGUAGCACCUCAGCACCCUGGACCUGCCCGCCCCUGCACACCAGAGAAGGACCCCAGGUCGAGCCCAGUCCUGGUGAUGCCAGUCUCCCUGACGGUUGUUAGCUCAGGCGUGGGCAUGCUACACAGCCCCUGCCAAUGAUAGAGUUGAUCUGCUCGGUUUCCACUGGCACAUUUACUCUAUCUGCAUCAAGCACCUGCUCUUUUCUAGGCACUAUUGUGUGAACAGGGAAUUCACACGGGAUAGAACAACAUCCCUUCCUCAGGGAGCUUCUGCCCUAGAGAGAGAGCUCUGCUGUGGGUCAGGGUGUUUUCAUCGACUCCCACUCACCCUGCUGGUGAAGGAGGGAUUCUCAUCCCAGGGUUAUGGGGAUGGCCCAACACACAACGUUGACACACUGGACAGAAGACACAGACAAAAGUUUCUGAGGCUUAUAUGCCCACAGCCUGGGAGAGGAGGACGCAGGGCCCAUGGGAGCUGCGGUGGGAGCAGAAGGACCUGGCACGGGCUGGGGGAGGCGGACUUUGCAGUACUAAGAGGAUGCGGUGGCCCUAGUUUCUAUCUGAUGGUGUGAUUGGCUUGUUUGAAUAAUUCUGUGGGCUGAUAGGGAAUGGAAAUGCAGGGACAAGCAGGAACUGUGACCGGCCCCCUUGAGAAGGAGGGUAGAGGUGUGCAGAGGGGAACUUGUGGUUAGGCCAUUCGAGGCCCUCCCGGUUUCACCAGAUGUCAAGGCAGUGCAUAAUGUCAUUAAUAAUAUUAGUUUUAGGCUUUACACCACAGAGGGCUGCUUCUGGGAUGUGGCUUUUUUAUGUCCUUAGGCCUUAUUGUGUAAAGAUAUGAUGCUUGGAGCUGCCACAGCCUCUGUGAGAAGAUGAGUGAAAAGCCACAGAAAUAACAGAGAGGCUGACUCGGGCCCUGACUAGGGUGGAGCUGCUGAAUUACUCAGUCUGGGGGUGCCGUGCCUCCAGCCUUUCCAUUUGUGGGAUGUGGCACUCAGUUCCUCAUUGUUUAGGCCUCUCUGGGUUGGGAUUCUAUUCCUGCCACUCAGAAGUAGCCUGGUCCUGUGCUCAUACUGUGUGAUCCUGUGUGUAUCAGUGGCCCCAGCUCCACGGUGCUGAGGAGCACAGAGCAGAUGUGGGUUUCUUCUGUGUUUGUGCAUUUCUCUGUGCAGAUGUGAUGAUAUCUCGUGUGCAUUCUUUUUUUUUUUUGGAGACAGGGUCUUGCUCUGUUGUUCAGGCUGGAGUGCAGUAGCACAAUCAUGGCUCACUGCAAUCUCGAACUCCUGGGUCCAAGUGAUUUUUCCUUCUCAGCCUCACGAAUAGCUAAAACUACAGGUGCAUGCCAUCAUGGCUGGAUAAUUUUAUUUUUAUUUUUUCGAAGAGACAAGGUCUCAUUAUAUUGCCCACGCUGGUCUUGAACUCCUGGCCUCAAGCGAUCCUCUCACCUCCGCCUCCCAAAGUGUUGCAAUUACAGGCAUGAGCCACUGUGCCUGGCCUGAUGUGCAUUCUAUACAAAAAAAAUAUAACAAGCCCCAAUGUCUCAUUGGAGGGUAACAGGAGGAGGAGUCUAUGGAGGGGCUGGCCAGUCCUGGAGCCAGAGUGUGGGCCUCUCAGGAGGGAUAUCCCACCUGGUCUGCAGGACUGGAGACCAGCAGGGCUGAGGUGAGUCCUGGGCCACUCUGGCAGCAGGGGAGGUCAGAGUCUGACCCCCACUGGGGAGACAGAUAUGAGGAAGCUUUAGAAGAGGGGAGCAUUCCCUCUGUUGUUGUCUCUGGUGACCUGAAGACCCAUCUAAGUGCUGACUGAUGACCAAGAGAACAAGGUGCUGGUACCCGUGACCUGGGCCACCAUGAGCCACUGCACCUGAAGGUAGGGAGCCCCUCUAAAGGAUGGCAGCCUAUCUCAUGGCCAAUGAUAACUUACCUGUGAGCUUGUUGGGGCUUGGGGGCUCUUCCUUGCAACCAAUGACUUACACGCAAGGUUGCUAGUACAAGGAGCUCUUUGUCAGGCUUCUGGUUGGUGGAUAGAGUCAUCUGAAGGCCACUUCUGUCCUCUAAGCCCCACCUGCCCUUCUGAGGAUUACAGGAUGGGCAUGGCCACUUAUUGAACAUGUAUUAACUGCCAAAGGCUUUUUACUCGUGAUCUCUAAACCUUACAACCUUCCUUAUAAACAAAGGAAGUGAUGCUCAGAGAGGCUAAGUGACUUUCCUAAGCCCACACAGCAAAGAAAUAGUGGAGCCUGAUUUGAACCCAGGUUCCUUCUUCAAUGCAGAGCCUGCUCUUCCCUCUGGCCACCAUCCCGUGUAUCCAAUGCUUUGAGCAGUUGCCUCAGUGGCAGGCUGGGCUGUUACUGCUUCUCUGAGCCUCAGUCCCCUCAUCUGUAAAUUGGGAUCACAAGAGUUGAGAAGGAGGUGCCUGGUGCCUGGCACAAAGCAGCUCUUGACUACCGAUGCCAGCCCCUCUGCAUGACCCGCCUCUGGGCCUUUAAAAAUUUUGGCAGUGGCUCACGCCUGUAAUCCCAGCACUUUGGGAGGCCGAGGCGGGUGGAUCACGAGGUCAGGAGAUCGAGACCAUCCUGGCUAACAUGGUGAAACCCCGUCUCUACUAAAAAUACAAAAAAUUAGCCAGGCGUGGCGGCGGGUGCCUGUAGUCCCAGCUACUCAGGAGGCUGAGGCGAGAGAAUGGCGUGAACCCGGGAGGCGGAGCUUGCAGUGAGCCGAGAUUGCGCCACUGCACUCCAGCUUGGGCGUCAGAGAAAGACUCUGUCUCAAAAAAAAAAAAAAAAUCUCUCUCUAUAGACUGGAGGCAAAGAAGAGGAUGGAGCUAAUAAUGAAUGAUGGCAGCAUGGAGUCAAGCCCGAGGUCUUAGAGAAAGUCACAGAUGACCGCGUCCCGUCAUCUGCCCACUGCAGAGCCCAAGGCACAGAAGGCCUCUCGCCGUCACAGCUCCAAGUGCUGGAGCUGGAGGCACACAGGCGGCAGUGUGUGAGGGGCAGGGCUGCCAAUGGGCUGUAGGCUUUAUGGCCUAGUGAGAGACCCUGGAAUGUAAUCUGGGCUUUCAUCGCUCUGCAGCUGGAGUAGGGCAGGUCACUGCCAGCCUGCGCUGGGCUGGACUGCUGGUCACCAGGGACCUCUAGACCUCUGUUCACAGCAGACUGCCAGGCCUAGAGCCCAGGGAACCCAAGGCAGGACUGAUGGAGUGGAGAGGAGGGAAAGGCGAGGCCCCCACUCCUGCAGCUCUGCAGGCUCCAGCAGCAUUAGAAAGGAAAACUGUUUUAAUGGCCUCCUCGAGGCGGAGGGAGUGGUGUUUAACAGGGCCUGAGGAAUGGGCCCUCAGUGAGCUCCAUGAGGCCUACUGGGUGCUGGAUCACAUGGCAUGAACACCAGAGCCCUCUACCAUCUGGAGACUGUGGCAAGUUCUUUCAUGCUCAUGGGUGAAGCAGGCAUCCUGGUGGUACUUCCCCGUGGGGUGGUUGAGGGGUUAAGGGAGGCUUUCCUGUCCUGAGCCCACCCCAUAUGAGUGGCUACUAAACGACGGCCUCAGCAUUCGUUACCCCUGGGAGGGCCUCCUGUCUCUCCUCUCUCUGCAUAAGCUGCCCCAGCCGCCUUCCCACCCAGCCUCCGGGCUUCCAGCCCCCAGACCUGGGAGACAUAAAUGUCUGUUGUUUCAGCCACCCAGCCUGUGGUAUUUGGUUACGGCAGCGUGAGUUGACUAAGACCCAAGGAGAGAGCCCACACCCCCGAUUUCCACUGGGAAGUGGCGGCAGCAGCACUCAGAGCUCUCAGGUCUUUGUACAGCAGUCCCUGGGCCAAGUCUUGCUGUAGAUGAGCUCCUAUCAGCUCUACCAGGGCAGUCAUGCUGGCAUGCCCACUGUAAGGAUAAGGAACCAGAGGUACAGAGAGAUGGAAAAACUUGCCUAGAAUCACAACGGUUAGAAAAUGGCAGAGGAGGGAUUUGCACUUUUGGGCUCCAGAGUUCACCGUCUUUUUUUGUUUUUGUUUUUGAGGCAGGGUCUCACUAUGCCGCUGAGGCUGCAGUGCAGUGGCGAUCAUGGCUCAGUGCAGCCUCGACCUCCCAUAGCCGGCUAAUGUUUUUUGCAUUUUUUUUGUAGAAAUGGGGUUUUGCCAGUUGUUGCCCUGUCUGGUCUCAAACUCCUGAGCUCGUGAUCCUCCUGCUUCUGCUUCCCAAAGUGCUCAGAUUACAGGUGUGAGCCAUGGUGCCCCGCCCAGAGUCCAGGGUCUUAACUACAGUGUUUGAUUCUGCCCCAAACCAGCUCAGUUGCCUCUGGGUCUCAGCAAUUCCAUUUUUAAACUUGUUAUUGAUAUACUCACAGUCUGUGAAAUUUACACAACACAUAAUUAUGUGAACACACUGCCAGGUCGCCUUGCAGGGCCAUGGAAGGGACUGGCCAGCAAGGGCCCAGCUGCUGAGGCUGCACAGCCCCACAGCAAAACGUCCCUGCGCUGAGCAGGGUUCAACCUUACAAAGAAUUGAAGAGUAGAUUUAUAUAAUAAUGGGAUACGUGAUGAAUUUUGAAAUUAUUGCCCAGAUAAUGAAACUUUGGAGCAAUAUAUAAAGAUUGUGACCCCUUGGGUAGGCAGGUGUUACCUUGACUAGACUUGCCCUCUUUAAGUUAUGGUUAUUCUUUUUAUUCUUUAUUCCACUUCUUUGCCCACAGUGCUGUGGGCUUUAGGGUCACUCUGGCUUCCUCUGACCGGCCCUGGAAAGGAGGCCUCCUUCAUGGCACCUUUUGUUGUCCUUGAAGAAAGUUUUUGUUACAGGAAAGGUUAACCAGAGGUUACUCUGCUUUAUAGAGUUAAUAUCUCACUCAUUAAACCCACACAUUCAAAAACCCAGUUUUUACUCAGGCAUUUAAUUUCAGCCAGCAAAUUGUAAAAUUGUACGUGUAUAUUUUGAAAAUUGUACAUAUUUUGUCUAACAUUUUUGGCAAUCAUUUUAAGGACAACUUUAUUUCUUAAUAAUUUCUUAAGGAUUAAAUUCCCUUAAACCUUUAGAAUUGUAUUUAUAAAUGUAAUAGUUUCUGUUUUUCCUGUAAGUAUUCUAAUUAUUAGAAUUAUUUAAAAUAUUCCUGAAUAUUUAAACAACUUAUGAAUCCAAUAGAUUAAAUCUAGAAAUAUGGUGUAUUUUGAGUUCUCUCAAGUCUUCUAUACUGCUUAUAAAUUUAGGACAUUUUAAGUAAAAAUCACAAAGCUCAGCUGAUGACAUAUUUUAAAUUAGAAGCAAAAAAGGUGAAUAUUUACUCCAUUAGGGCUAAUUUCUUUUAAACUUGAUGAAACACCUAGAAUUUGUAAACUAUGUGCAAACUUACAUGAAAUAUUAUUAUUUUGGGUUUGGUUUAUUUAAUAAUUCUCUACUUUAUUCUAACCCUCCCUGGGCCAUGGUGACUCAGAGACAGGGUCAGUGCACAGGCUGGGCCCAUGGAGAGCAGGGCAUCCAGAGCUUGUCAAGGGCUGCUGGCCAGAGCCUGCUCCCCUCACUGCUCUUUAAGUGACUGUAACAGAAACGGGUGGCCUUAAGCCAAGCUGAGCGGGGGUUUCAUUACACCUGCCUUGUAGGGAUUCUGGGAUUUGUCAUGGGGACACACUACAAUGUGUACCUACAAUAAGAUGGAAAGAUGUUCAAUUACACUCUAUACACAUAUACACAUGAAAGGGAGGGACCCCUUUUGCUUUGCCUGUGUGCAGUAGAUGCUUACACGGAGAGUUUGGUGUAGACAGACAGAGACAAGAGGCUCCGCAUUUCAGGGAGGAGCAGACCUCUACAGCGACCAAGGAGGAGGGCCAGAUACAACUAACUGGAAGCUGAGGAGCGGGUUCUCAACUUGACCCUCUGAGGGCACAGGAGACAUUACUGAGCAGGUGCACAGCUGUGCCAGAAUGAAAAUGUUCUGUGACAGAGACAAGAGCGCCUGCUGAGAGCGGAGCUGUCUCCAUGUGCAUGACCACAGCCACAGCCCUGUGACAUCAGGCAUGUGACACGCUUGCUGGCUGAUGAGGCCCAGAAAGGGCCUUUAGAGGUGGCUGCGAGGCAGCGCUGCAGUAGGAUACCCUUAUAAGGAAGCUUUUUGCCAGGACUGGGCUGGCGGCUGUCCUGGGAACCCCAAUCCCACAGUGCUUCUGGCUUUCCUCACCAUUAGCAUCUCCUUUCCUAGCAAAUAUCCUGAGAGCGCUUUGAGAUUGUGUUUUUCUCCUGGGGCAACCACCUGCAGAAUCUCCACGGAGGGGCUGGGAAAAUGCUUUGCAUGAUCCCUCAAAGCUCCCUUUCAUCGAGGGAGGAAAGGCUGAGAGGUGGGCCUCAGAAAGAGCUUCGUGGGGGCAGGAGCCAUCCUGGGGGUAGAAGAGGGGUGUAACUGGUCUAGUCCAUCCGAAGUAAGGGCUUUAAGGAGCCUGCUGGGAGAGUUUAACCUGGGACCCCCGCAGCAUGAGGGACAUAGAGACUGGCCUCAGACCCAGGCUUGGAUGAUCCAGAGGGUGAAGUCAGGCUGGCAGCCUGCUCUUAUGCUGGAGCCCAAGUGGGUCAUGGGAAAGAAGAGCCAAAGCGUUCCCAUUGACCAGAGGCCAGGUGAGAGAGUGAGGCGGCCCAAGGUGGUGGCAGCUCCUGUGGGAAGAGACCACCCCAGGGGCUGGAGGUGAGGCUGGCUGCCCAGGGGCCGAGGAAGGAGGGAGUGGCCAAUCUGAACAGAGCGGCCUUCUCCUCCUUAGGGUCUGUAGCCAAAGGUGCGCCGUGCAGCACCUGGAGUGGGGGGUGGUGGGGGAAAUCUCCGAAGGAGUCAGGAAAGCACCUCUGCCAGGGCCAGAUCCCAUCACAGGCAUCAGUGGGUGAAAGCGCUCCUGCUGCUUUCCUUUCUCCCUUUCCCGUCUCCAUACUGGAAGGGCUGGAAAUGGCUUUGAGGAGAAGGGGUGUGAAGAAGAGUUAGGCAGCCCACUGUGCCGCCCCGCCCUGGCUGCAGCAGGCUGGAGGGGGUUUAGGGGGUGAGGAGAGAAGGGGACUCAACACUGGAUCCAGUUUUUAUCACCCAAGAAUGAACAGAUCCCCUGCUGUGCUUUCAUCCAGAACAGGAACUGCCCUGGAAGUAAGUAACCAGAACAGGAACUACCCUGGAGUGAAGUAAAGGGGCGGUGGGAAAUUCCCGUGCGGCUGCUGCCGAUGUCCUGUGCCACCGAGGCACUGCAUAGUCUGUUGGAAGGGAAAACAGAAAAGUAACUUUCAACCUUCUCCCCUCACCCCUUUGAAUGCCAAGGAGAGCCCUCCUCCCAGCCCCAGAAGAAACCUCAGCUGUGUUCUUGUGCUGUGCGUCCAAGAGAAAGAUGAUCAGAGCCCAGCGGCUGCAUGCCUAAGCUUCCAUGCUCUAGUGGCCACAUUAGAAAAAGUGAAAUGGAACAGAUACUUGCUUUGUCACCCAGGCUGGAGUCAG